rnacentral:rRNA from 1 species
GUGCGGUGCCUUCCGAGUCCCCUGGAAUGGGGCGCCAUAGAGGGUGAGAGCCCCGUAUGGUCGGCCGCCUAGCCUGUGUGAAGCUCCUUCGACGAGUCGAGUAGUUUGGGAAUGCUGCUCAAAAUGGGAGGUAAAUUCCUUCUAAAGCUAAAUACUGGCCAGAGACCGAUAGCGCACAAGUAGAGUGAUCGAAAGAUGAAAAGCACUUUGAAAAGAGGGUUAAACAGCACGUGAAAUUGUUGAAAGGGAAGCGCUUGUGACCAGACUUGCGCCGGGCUGAUCAUCCGGUGUUCUCACCGGUGCACUCUAACCGGCUCAGGCCAGCAUCGGUUUUAGCGGGGGGAUAAAGGCCCCGGGAACGUAGCUCCCCCGGGAGUGUUAUAGCCCGGGACGUAAUGCCCCCGCCGGGACCGAGGACCGCGCUUCGGCAAGGAU